AGAUGAGGGGCUCCUCAUCUCAACGACUAAAACACAACUUCAGUCUGACACAGAGAACCAUGGAACACUUUCAACAGUCCCCUCCAGGCAUCGUGACUCCUCAGGAACAGUUUCAUUUCAGAGAAGGUCUCAUUUGGGGCCAUUCCAAGAUGGAUCCUGCUCCUCAAGAGCCACCCCCUCCACUGGAUGGUCUUCUGAACAGAUGAUCUCCUUCCUGUCCUCAGGCUGACUAAAGCUGCACCGUUUGCAUCUUUGAAGGCCCCUCAAUCACUAAACCACUGGACUACAAACACAUGACUUCAGAGACGUUGAAACAGCGUGAAUGGAGACACCAAGCAUAAUCCAUCACCAAUGUGGGACGCCACUGAAGAAUGUUGUACAUAAUUUACGUCUCUGGAGAUAUUGGUGGUUCUGUUCUGGGUGCCCUGACAGAAGAGCUGGGGGUGGAUGAUGGAAUGGUAUUUGGCAUGAGGUUUUUACCCUGCAUGAGUGUUUGGUCUUUUAUGGCUCAGUGGUGUGUGUGGGUUUGACAUGAGAUGGAAGAUUUUUGAACAUCGCUAGGGUUCUAGGGUUCUGUGUGUGUGUGUGUGUGUGUGUGUGUCACACCCGGCAUGGGGUUCUACGUGCGAGUCCUGGGUUCUGCGUCCUGCUUGCUUUGACAUUGAUCAUUUUCAUACGGGGGUCUGUGUGAUUGGCUUGGUGUAUUGGAAUGGUCAACUAAAUCAUGCCUGCUGGAAGGCCACACGUUUACUUGAGGCCUCCAGGAGACAUGAAGAGCCCUGAGCGACGCUCCGGAGCGAUAUCCAACACACUGGGCAGGAAGGAGAGUAUCCAAAUCAAGUGUAAAAGGAUGCAAGCGGCGUGUUCAGAUCAGCGACUUCAAACUAGGACUACACCAAUCAGGAUCAAUGGAGGAUGGACACCUAAAGGCAUUCCACAAGGACUCUGAAGUUGGAAAGGAACCUCAAUGGAUGUUCAAGAUGACCUUCAGACCUGUAAUGAGGCGGAUCUUCCUACCUGGCUGGAUUGAUGGAGAGCCCUGUGGAUCUUGUCUUGCUCUCAGUUGCACGUCUUCUCAGGCUGAACUGUAUUUGCUGUACAGGACUAGCUGAACGAUCGGUUCCCUUAAAUCAGAACCAAUCUGGGAACUCCAACUAGUGCGCUCUUCAAGCUGAAGUUGUGCUCUUCAGCUGAGGAGGCAAGGAAACCUUCACUGGGGCUACAAUGUGUAUAGAGGAGAACGUUUGAAGUGUUCAUAGUAUUCUGAUGAAGACCGUUGUUGUGUUUCACUGGCUGAGAGGAAGAACCCUCACAUCUUCCUCUUGGACUUUCUCCUCUGAGAAUCCUGGUGCCAUCUUGAAGGAUAUUCCAGCUCAUGUAACUGAUGUCACGACAGAUUCUCAAACACUUGGUUUCUCCUGAGGGGCGUGUCUAUAGAACUGAAGACUUCAGACAGCACUGUAUCCCAGCACGCAUCUCUGCUCACUCAGACCACACCCUCAUGAGUAGGAUGCAACACUAUAGCGAUGGAGAUGUAGAGUUUUAUAAGUAAAGAUGGAGCAGACAACGGUGAUUCGAACACAAUUGCAAUUUAAGUCUUUAAAUCUUUAAACCAUGAAGAUGGUUGGAUAGUUCAGGAAUUGGGCUUAAUUUUAUUAUGGGCAGUCCUUUCGCUCAAAUGCCCACUUCUCACUGGACCUGUACAUGUGUUGUUUGGCUGGCAUGAUUUGCUGUUGGUAAUGAGGCGGUCAGGGUGACAUUGCUUGGCUAUGGUCGGCUCUCUGUGAGCUCACUGUUUAGAUUUGAUCUGUAUGGUUUGUACCCUGAAUAUCGAUAAUUGUUGUUUUUAAUUUUAAAAUGUAGACAAGGUUUUGUAUUGAAUUAUUCCAUUGUUUUUAAGCAAGGAAUUGAGGUUUAAAGUUGUUGUGGAACGUACAUGGUAGUUCGGUUCUUCGUACGGUUUUGAGUGAUAUAACUUGUACACACUGGGUGCAUAAUAAUGUAAAGGUACACUGAAUAGCAGUAAUGACCAACAGCAACAAACAGAUCACAUCAAGGUAAGUCUGUUGGCUGUGUUUUUAUGAAGACCAUCGCUGGACUUCAGGAUCUUCCUCCGUUCAGCUCAAGGUGUCUGCCUCCUCACCCAGAGCCAGACCUCCACCUCCUCACCCAGAGCCAGACCUCCACCUCCUCACCCAGAGCCAGACCUCCACCUCCUCACCCAGAGCCAGACCUCCACCUCCUCACCCAGAGCCAGACCUCCACCUCCUCACCCAGAGCCAGACCUCCACCUCCUCACCCAGAGCCAGACCUCCACCUCCUGUCAGAAGUCCUCCAGAACAGCUGAAAGGCGAGGCUGAGAGGCUGGGGACCGGCUUGUGGUGCCAGGAUGGACCGGAGACUGAGGCUGGAGACCAGGGGCCUGCAGCACCGGACCAGAGGGUAACCAUCACCAAGCUCAUCUGAAACACUAAAAUCCUCAGUAGUUUAGGUCUGGUUUUGAUCAUCUUAAGACUUUAAAUCUGUGCCACGCUGUGAUUUGAGUUAAUUCAUACCGGGGUUAUGUAGAAGUCAUAUGAGCCAUUAUUGUUAGAGUGCUGCUACGACCGUAGUGGAUGAAUUGCUGAAUGGGUCAAUCUGUAGACGUUGUCUAAUUCAAGUGUUUAAAUAUGUUUAAAUUCGUCUUCCAUUUUACAAGUGAACCUCAGAUGCAGGAGGUGGGGUGUGUUGCCAUUCCAGGUGAUUUACUGCUGAGACCAACUGUUUGUAACCAGACCAGGAAUCCAUGGCUGAAGGAGCUCAUGGAGGAGCCGUGCUGAAGGCCCUGCCUGUUGGAGGAGCUGAUGGAGGCCCUGCCUGAUGGAGGAGCUGAUGGAGGCCCUGCCUGAUGGAGGAGCUGAUGGAGGCCCUGCCUGGUGGAGGAGCCGAUGGAGGCCCUGCCUGGUGGAGGAGCCGAUGGAGGGCCUGCCUGGUGGAGGAACCGAUGGAGGCCCUGCCUGGUGGAGGAACCGAUGGAGGCCCUGCCUGGUGGAGGAGCUGAUGGAGGCCCUGCCUGGUGGAGGAUUUCUGUCGUUGGACCAUGAAUCUGUCUGAAGAGAGCUGGUGGGGGAGCUGAGAAGCUGUAAGACGAUUAGGAAUUGACAACAAGGAUUCCUCACCAGGACUCUGGCUGAGGAGUGCUGAUAGAGGAGCCAAGACUCUGGAGGACGACAUCACUCUAUCAACAAGGAUCCAAGUCAGUUUGCAUAAAACCAGGAAUCUGGAGGACUGACGGAGAAGCCAUACCUCUGGAAGGCAAAUCCUGAGGACGACCAGGACUCUACCAUCAAGGAUUCCUCACACACCUGAGCUGAACCUCACCUGAUCCUGUUUGGUCGGGGUCAGACUCAUCUGAGCUGAACCCCACCUGAUCCUGCUGGUCCCGUCUCCUCAGUUCAUCUUAGCCUCGUCUUCCAGAAGACCUGCUGAACUCAGCAGUCUGAUCCUGAUGGAUCAAUGACCUCCAGUGGGAGUGAUCUUCUUGACCACACAAGUACCCGUGUGCUUCCACACGUCUUACCCUCACGUCUGUCACUAACCUCACUACUUCACUAAUCUCUACUCCUUACCUUCUUCUUCCUUCUCCGUGGUUCGAACCUUUACUCUGAAGGAGUGUCUUCUUGAACCUUUACACUGAAGGACCGUCUUCCUGCCCUCAGAGGGUUUAGAGUCAGGG
ensembl:lncRNA